CCAGAUGCAGUCUACACAGAACUCCAGCCCACCUCUCCAACCCCAACCUGGCCUGCUGAUGAAACACCACAACCCCAGACCCAGACCCAGCAACUGGAAGGAACGGAUGGGCCUCUAGUGACAGAUCCAGAGACACACAAGAGCACCAAAGCAGCUCAUCCCACUGAUGACACCACGACGCUCUCUGAGAGACCAUCCCCAAGCACAGACGUCCAGACAGACCCCCAGACCCUCAAGCCAUCUGGUUUUCAUGAGGAUGACCCCUUCUUCUAUGAUGAACACACCCUCCGGAAACGGGGGCUGUUGGUCGCAGCUGUGCUGUUCAUCACAGGCAUCAUCAUCCUCACCAGUGGCAAGUGCAGGCAGCUGUCCCGGUUAUGCCGGAAUCGUUGCAGGUGAGUCCAUCAGAAACAGGAGCUGACAACCUGCUGGGCACCCGAAGACCAAGCCCCCUGCCAGCUCACCGUGCCCAGCCUCCUGCAUCCCCUCGAAGAGCCUGGCCAGAGAGGGAAGACACAGAUGAUGAAGCUGGAGCCAGGGCUGCCGGUCCGAGUCUCCUACCUCCCCCAACCCUGCCCGCCCCUGAAGGCUACCUGGCGCCUUGGGGGCUGUCCCUCAAGUUAUCUCCUCUGCUAAGACAAAAAGUAAAGCACUGUG
rnacentral:lncRNA from 1 species